GCCAGUGUGGCAUAGUGGUUUGACCGUUGGACUAUGACUCUGGGACAAGGGUUCGAUUCCCAGCCCAGCCA